rnacentral:rRNA from 1 species
CAUGUCCUUUUGAUUAUAAUUUAAGGUCUAAUCUGCUCAAUGAUUAAUUAAAUUGCCGCGGUAUUUUGACCGUGCGAAGGUAGCAUAAUAAUUAGUUUUUUUAUUGAAAGCUGGAAUGAAUGAUUGGACGAGAGAAUUACUGUCUCUUUUGAAUUUUAAUUAAAAUUAACUUUUGAGUUAAAAGGCUCAAAUAUUUUUAAAAGACGAGAAGACCCUAUAGAGUUUAAUAUUAAAUUAUUUUAAUGUAUUUUUGGUUUUUUAAUUAUUAAUUUUUAUUUAUUAUUUGGUUGGGGUGACUAGAAGACUUAAUUAACUCUUCUUUAUCUAAUUAUUGAUUAAUAAUUAUAAAAUCUGGAUUUUUCAAAUUUAAAAUAAAUUACCUUAGGGAUAACAGCGUAAUUUCCUUUUAUAGUUCUUAUUGGUAAGGAAGUUUGCGACCUCGAUGUUGGAUUAAAGUUAAUGUUAGGUGCAGUAGCUUAAUUAUUUAGUCUGUUCGACUAUUAAAACUUUACAUGAUCUGAGU